rnacentral:rRNA from 1 species
GACGAACGCUGGCGGCGCGCCUAACACAUGCAAGUCGAACGAGCGAGAGAGAGCUUGCUUUCUUGAGCGAGUGGCGAACGGGUGAGUAACGCGUGAGGAACCUGCCUCAAAGAGGGGGACAACAGUUGGAAACGACUGCUAAUACCGCAUAAGCCCACGGUGCCGCAUGGCACAGAGGGAAAAGGAGCAAUCCGCUUUGAGAUGGCCUCGCGUCCGAUUAGCUAGUUGGUGAGGUAACGGCCCACCAAGGCGACGAUCGGUAGCCGGACUGAGAGGUUGAACGGCCACAUUGGGACUGAGACACGGCCCAGACUCCUACGGGAGGCAGCAGUGGCGAAUAUUGCACAAUGGGGGAAACCCUGAUGCAGCGACGCCGCGUGGAGGAAGAAGGUCUUCGGAUUGUAAACUCCUGUUGUUGGGGAAGAUAAUGACGGUACCCAACAAGGAAGUGACGGCUAACUACGUG